CACACUUUUCUUAUCGCAUUAGGGUUUCAUCUUCUCUAAUACGCUUCUGCAUCUGGAUCUCAAAUCGAUGACAAGAUUUCAUCUUCUUCCUUAAGAUUCAUCGGUUUUCAUCUCUCAAUUUAGGGUUUCGACUAUAUAUUUCUUAUAAUCCGAAGAACACACAACCUUCAUUCGCAUCUAGGGUUUCUGUUUCUUCCAUCAUACACCUCAUUCUCAUCAUCCCUAAAUCUCAUUCCUGAAAGAUCAUCAAUACCAAGAUCUCUUUUUUUUUUUUGCACAACCUCCUCAACACUAAUAUGUCUUCAUCUUCAAUCUCGCCACACCAAAGUCAUGACAAGGUUUGUUUAUUUUUUGAAAAUCAUAGCAAGUGAUUUCUAUGAUUCAAGGUUUGUUUAUUUUUUGCGAUUCUUUGUUUUUUUACAUUUUUUUGUUUAAUUUGUGUUCUGAUACCCUAGCUGCGAUAGUCAGGAAGGUUUCUUUCAUUGUAGAUAGUCAAUUUCUUUCAUCACAGAUAGUCAAGAAGGUUUAUGGAGAUGAAGAUUGUUCGAUUUCUGGGUUCCAUCACAUGUAAAUCUCGUGGGAGGUUAAUCUACACCAUUCGGUCCUUUUUUUGGAAUCAAACACGAAAACAAUGGAUUGGAGAUAAAGGAUCCAGCUACAAAAGAAAGCUAGAAAAGCUGAUAUAAGCGCUUUCUGGCUGAUUUUGUUAGGAUGGCUGAAUUUGAAAAUGUAAUGGAGUUGAAGGUCCUGAACGAUGAUGGAUUCGUGAUGAAUAUGCAUAUUGGGGCUGAACAUUCAGAGGGUUACAAGAGGUAUGUUUUCUAAAGGAUGGGAGAAGUACAUGAAAGAAAGUGGUUUAUAAAUGGAUACAUAUAUGUAUAUAAAUUAUUUAUACGUUUAUGACUUAUGUAAUAUGUAAUUUAAACAUAUAAUAUAAUUCUCUGUUUUGCAGAUUACUAUGAUAUAUUGCAAAAUAAAUUAUUGUUUUCUUAGAUAAUGCUAAUCUGGACAUUUUUGUGAAGUGUCUCUCAUAGGCUUGACAUCGAUUACAGCUCCUUAAAAGCCCUAAGUCACACAUUUCAAUAAGGUAUUUCUAAAUUACCCUACAUCCAUUUAUACUGAUCGGUUAGGUUGGUGAAAGGAUAUUUAAAAAAAAUUGUAUUGCUUUUUGAAUGGAUUGUCUUUGAUCAUAGUAUGCACUUAUUUUGUUAUCAACUGGAACACAACAUGAAGAAGAAAAACUAAUGUUCAGUUGUUUAUUGCAUCAUAUAUUCCUUCAUUCACCUGUUGGCCCCAUUUUCUAAAUUAAUGAGUACAUAUAAAUUUUGUAAACUCAUUUGAACUAAUUUUUUACAUCUAUCAAUAAAAUAAUGUUGAACUCAAUCUCGAAGAGUUAUUUUUUGUGCCACUAAGUUAGGGAUGAGCACGAUACCCGUUUGGUAUCAAAAAACGGAGAAAAUUGGUACCAGUACCGAAGACCGGUUCGGUACCGGUGUUUUACCCGUAAAUACCGAUACCGAUACCGAAAAACGGGGAAAAUGGGUACCGGUACCUGUACCGAAUAUACCCGGUACCAAAUGCUCAUCCCUACACUAAGUUGUUGUAGCAUGCUCAUAGCUGGACGAAUGAUUAUUAAAUAGUUUUUGAUCCAAACUUACGUGUAAGAACACAAAUAUGUUUACUCACAUGAUGCGACUCAUUGUAGACUGAUAUAGACAUUUUGAAUCUUUUCUUACUCGGAUAUGGAUAAUGAAAUGUAACGUUCAAACCGAAGUACAAGAUUGGAAGUUCAACAGUUCUUUUGUUUUUUUGUGUUCAAAGUUCAAAUACGGUUUGUAAGAGGGAGGAUGUUGUAUGCAAAUCGUAAGUAGAGGGUGGUUCAGUGGUUGGAAUAGGAAACUUUGGUGAGGUGGGGCCAUUGGAUCAUAACCCAAGAAACUUCACAUGGCUCAGAAAGGCAGAUCUUUUAUUUGUGGAAUGAAAUUUGUAGCAAAUUUACAAGAUUUAUAAUUUAUAAAUGAAUAUAAAGUACAAAACUUUUUAAUAAAUGAAUAUAUUGUGGCAGAAUCUUAUGGUGGAAAGUAUGAUGUCACACAUGGAUUAUUAGCUCUAAAAUAGAUUAAGGCUGGGAGAUUAAAGCUCAAUCUAGGAGAUUUAGAUUUUUCCAAAUCUUGAAAUAUAAGCAAUUAAAUUUAAAAACGUUAAAUUUGCAUAAAUUUUGAAUAAAGAUUUCAGCAAAAAGGCCAAAUGACAUUGCUCGCCAAAUCGGAUUAGCUUCUUUUGAUACAUCAAAGGUAUAUCGUUAAUUAGUUCCCCGUCACCUAUUUCCUUUGCUCGAUAGCGGGGAUUACAGAUUUCAACUGAGUCGAGGUAAUUAAGUUCUCAUUACUAAUUUUUUUAAUCUCUUUGUAGUAUAUGUUAGUAGUUAGUUUUAGUGUUAGUUAAAUGGUAAAACUUAUUUGGAUUCUUCUUAUUUCAAUUCCUAUUAUACUGAUGUUAUUAUAUAAUAAUUGUAGUCAUCUCUUAUUUUGUUUUGUUUUCGUCAAACAAUUCUUCAAUUUGGGUUAACCGCAGUUUAUAUUAGCGAAAAAAGGUGCAUUAGGAACGAUAUGGAUCGCGCGCAUCUGGAUAGCUGCAUAAUUGGUGGCAAUUCAAUGUUAGAAGAUGCUAACAUUAAGGAUAUGAAGGAUGUGGAAGGUUUGAUCCGUCUCCCAGUCAAAGAUAACAACAGUCCACCAACCCAGAAAACAAAUUGAUGUGAUGUCUGUUGAAACUAAAGCUCUUCUUGACCCGCUUAACGGUUUGCCCAAGUGCAGGUUGUGCCCGUUGAGCGGCUCGGCAUACUGAUGAGUCCACGAUUUACUAGUGCGCCGCUCAUUCAAUUACCAAUGAGUGACAAUCGUAGUUACCGCUAUCAGAGGCGGCCCUGGGGGUGGGCAGGGAAGACCACCGGCCAGGGUCUGGUAUUUCAAAGGGCAUGUUAUUUAAAAAAACCCGAUACAUGUAAUUUUUUUAAUAUGGUAUACCCAUAUAAACUCCAACAUAUCCCCACUUACAAAACUAUUCUUAUGGUUUAGAUUAGUUAUUAGCCCAUUAAUAUUAUGUUUAUACCUUU